rnacentral:rRNA from 1 species
UACGAAGGGGGCGAGCGUUGUUCGGAUUUACUGGGCGUAAAGGGCGCGUAGGCGGCCCUCCUUGUCGCGUGUGAAAGCCCCGGGCUCAACCUGGGAACGGCGCGCGAGACGGGGGGGCUGGAGUUCGGGAGAGGAGCGUGGAAUUCCCAGUGUAGAGGUGAAAUUCGUAGAUAUUGGGAAAAACACCGGUGGCGAAGGCGGCGCUCUGGACCGAGACUGACGCUGAGGCGCGAAAGCGUGGGGGAGCAAACAGG